UACAGAGGUGGCAAGCGUUGUUCGGAAUUACUGGGCGUAAAGCGCGCGUAGGCGGCUCGGAAAGUCGGUCGUGAAAUGCCGGGGCUCAACCCCGGGACUGCGUCCGAUACUUCCGAGCUGGAGGCAGGUAGGGGAGAUCGGAAUUCCUGGUGUAGCGGUGAAAUGCGCAGAUAUCAGGAGGAACACCGGUGGCGAAGGCGGAUCUCUGGGCCUUGCCUGACGCUGAGGCGCGAAAGCUAGGGGAGCGAACAGG
rnacentral:rRNA from 1 species